CCUACGGGUGGCAGCAGUGAGGAAUAUUGGUCAAUGGGCGUACGCCUGAACCAGCCAAGUCGCGUGAGGGAAGACGGCCCUAUGGUUUGUAAACCUCUUUUGGCAGGGAGCAAUGCCGGCCACGUGUAGCCGGAGGGAGAGUACCUGCAGAAUAAGCAUCGGCUAACUCCGUGCCAGCAGCCGCGGUAAUACGGAGGAUGCGAGCGUUAUCCGGAUUUAUUGGGUUAAAAGGGUGCGUAGGCGGAGUGUUAAGUCAGCGGUAAAAUGUCGGGGCUCAACCCCGAACGGCCGUUGAAACUGGCGAUCUUGAGGGGGCGAGAAGUAUGCGGAAUGCGUGGUGUAGCGGUGAAAUGCAUAGAUAUCACGCAGAACUCCGAUUGCGAAGGCAGCAUACCGGCGCCCAACUGACGCUGAGGCACGAAAGCGUGGGGAUCGAACAGGAUUAGAUACCCCAGUAGUC
rnacentral:rRNA from 1 species